AUAUACUUCUCGAGAUACACUGAGCUAGAUAGAACAUAGAUGUAGAUUAAA
rnacentral:misc_RNA from 1 species